rnacentral:tRNA from 1 species
AGGCCCGUAGCCAAGCGGUAAGGCAUCAGACUUUGACUCUGACACUCGUUGGUUCGAAUCCAGCCGGGCCUGCCA